GUGGGCUUUCCUUGAAGAUCUUUGGUAACGUGUUGUCCGCGGAAAUCAUCUUCCAAUUGUCUUUGACAAUGGCGGAUACCAGAUUAGAUGAAUUAUGGAAUGUCAUCGGGAAGGCAAUUCUUUGUACAGGAUCUGUCUUUGGGCGCACCGGAGCUAAUCAAGCUUUCAACAGUGCAUCAUCCAAUGCCUGAACUUCAUAUCCCCUCUCCAAAAACUUCUGAG